rnacentral:snRNA from 1 species
GUGCUUGCUUCGGCAGCCCAUGUACUAAAAUUGGAAUGAUACAGAGAAGAUUAGCA